GAUGAACGCUAGCGGGAGGCUUAACACAUGCAAGCUGAGGGGUAUUAGAUAGCUUGCUAUCUAAGAGACCGGCGUACGGGUGCGUAACGCGUAUGUAACCUACCUUUAUCACGGGGAUAGCCCGGGGAAACUCGGAUUAAUACCUGAUAAGAUAUUUAAUAGCAUUAUUAGAUAUUAAAAGAUUAAUCGGAUAUAGAUGGACAUGCGUAGGAUUAGUUAGUUGGUAAGGUAACGGCUUACCAAGACAUUGAUCCUUAGGGGGCCUGAGAGGGUGAUCCCCCACACUGGAACUGAGACACGGACCAGACUCCUACGGGAGGCAGCAGUGAGGAAUAUUGGACAAUGGGUGAGAGCCUGAUCCAGCCAUCCCGCGUGAAGGACUACAGCCCUAUGGGUUUUAAACUUCUUUUAUAUGGGAAUAAACCUAUCCUCGUGAGGAUAUCUGAAUGUACCAUAUGAAUAAGCAUCGGCUAACUCCGUGCCAGCCGCCGCCGUAACAC
rnacentral:rRNA from 1 species